rnacentral:rRNA from 1 species
AGAGUUCGAUCCUGGCUCAGGAUGAACGCUUGGCGGCAUGCUUAACACAGCAAGUCGAAACGUGAAGUGGUGUUUCCCCCAGUGGCGAACGGGUGAGUAAAGCGUAAGAACCUGCCCUUGGGAGGGGAACACACGAACGGUUGCUAAUACCCCGUGGCUGAGGAGCAAAAGGAGAAAUCCGCCCAAGAGGGGCUCCUCCUCGCCUCUGAUUAGCUAUUGGUUAGGCAAUAUCUUACCAAGGCGAUGAUCAGUAAGCUGGUCCCGAGAGUAUAUUCCAGCCACACUGGGACUGAGACACGGCCCAGACUCCUACGGGAGGCAAGAGUUGGGAAUUUUCCGCAAUGGCGCAAGCCUGGCGAGCAAUGCCGCGUGGAGGUGGAAGGCCUACGGGUCGUCAACUUCUUUUCUCUCGGAAAGAAACAAUGACGGUAUCUAGGAAAGCAUCGGCCUACCGCUGUGCCAGCAGCCGCGGUAAGACAGAGGAUUCAAGCGUUAUCCGAAUGAUUGGCGAAAUCGUCUGUAGGUGGCUUUCAAGUCCGCCGUCAAAUCCCAGGGCUCAACCUGGACAGGCGGUGGAACUACACCUGGAGUACGGUAGGGGCAGAGGAUUUCCGGUGAGCGGUGGAAAUGCAUGAGAUCGGAAAGACACCAACGGCGAAAGCACUCUGCUGGGCCCGACACUGACACUGAGAGACGAAAGCUAGUGGAGUCAAAUGGGAUUAGAGACCCCAUAGUCCUAGCCGUAAACGAUGGAUACUAGGUGCUGUGCGACUCGACCCGUGCAGUGCUGUAGCUAACGCGUUAAUAUCCCGCCUGGGGAGUACGUUCGCAAGAUGAAACUCAAAGGAAUUGACGGGGGCCGCACAAGCGGUGGAGCAUGGUGGUUUAAUUCGAUGCAAGCGAAAGAACCUUACCAGGGCUUGACAUGCCGCGAAUCCUCUGAAAGAGAGGGGUGGCCCUGUGACGCGGAACCACAUGUGGUGCAUGGCUUGUGCGUCAGCUCGUGCCCGUAAGGGUUGUGUUAAGUCUCGCAAACGAGCGCAACCCUCGUGGUUUUAGUUUGCCACUAUGAGUUUGGACCCUGAACAGACCGCCGGUGUAAGAACCGGAGAAGGAGAGGAUGCGGCCCCAGCAUCAUGCCCCUUAUCCCUGGGCGACACACGUGCUAAAUGGGCGGGACAAAGGGUCGCGGUCUCGCGAGGGUUGAGCUAACUCCAAAAACCCUCCUCAUUUCGGAUGCAGGCUGCAACUCGCCUUCAUGAAGCAGGAACGCUAGUAUGGCGGCCGGUCAGUCCAUACGUGCUGGUGAUCCGUUCCCGGGCCUGUACUCACCGCCCGUCACCCAUAGGAAAAAAGCCUGCCAGGUUUGAAGUCCUUACCUUUAACCGUAAGGAGGGUGGAUGCCUAACGCUAGCUUCACUGAUGGAAGUCGUACAAGGUAGCCGUUACUGGAAGGUGCGGCUG